CCUCCGGUAGUUUAUUGGUUAGUAUUCUCGUCUGGUAUACCGGAGUUGGUGGGUUCGAUUCCCACCCGUGGCG
rnacentral:tRNA from 1 species